GAAAUUUUGGCCAAAGUGGAGCC
rnacentral:piRNA from 1 species